AAGUCGUAACAAGGUUUCCGUAGGUGAACCUGCGGAAGGAUCAUUAAUGCAAAAAUGGAGUGGAAUCUUUUCUGUAACUCUUUUCUUAAGAGUUGCACAAAAGGCGACACGCUGUCUUAACCUCCCAAACGCUCGACUUUUUGGAAACAAAAAGCUUCGACGUCACAAGUAACCUGAGACGUUUUUCUUUUCGGCUGCAGACGAAGAGGAAAAUUGUUCUCUAUUUUUUACCACCAUAAUUACCCUUAUUCUAUAAACUAUUAGACUGAUAUAAAAAAACAUUUGUUUUUAACAAACAAAUUAUUAAACAACUCUUAGCAAUGGAUAUCUAGGCUCUC
rnacentral:misc_RNA from 1 species